rnacentral:rRNA from 1 species
AUAUAGAUUAAGUUAUUAAGGGCGCACGGUGGAUGCCUUGGCACUAGAAGCCGAUGAAGGACGUUACUAACGACGAUAUGCUUUGGGGAGCUGUAAGUAAGCUUUGAUCCAGAGAUUUCCGAAUGGGGAAACCCAGCACGAGUUAUGUCGUGUUAUCUGCAUGUGAAUACAUAGCAUGCAAG